rnacentral:rRNA from 1 species
CAAUACGUAGGGUGCGAGCGUUAAUCGGAAUUACUGGGCGUAAAGCGUGCGCAGGCGGUUUUGUAAGCCAGACGUGAAAUCCCCGGGCUUAACCUGGGAAUGGCGUUUGGGACUGCAAGGCUUGAGUGUGGCAGAGGGGACUAGAAUUCCUGGUGUAGCAGUGAAAUGCGUAGAUAUCAGGAGGAAUACCGAUGGCGAAGGCAGGUCCCCUGGGUUAACACUGACGCUCAUGCACGAAAGCGUGGGGAGCAAACAGGAUUAGAUACCCUGGUAGUCCACGCCCUAAACUAUGUCAACUGGUUGUUGGGGGUUUGACACUCUCAGUAACGAAGCUAACGCGUGAAGUUGACCGCCUGGGGAGUACGGCCGCAAGGUUAAAACUCAAAGGAAUUGACGGGGACCCGCACAAGCGGUGGAUUAUGUGGAUUAAUUCGAUGCAACGCGAAAAACCUUACCUACCCUUGACAUGUCCUGAAGCCUGGAGAGAUCCGGGUGUGCCCGAAAGGGAACGGGAACACAGGUG